rnacentral:rRNA from 1 species
AUUGAACGCUGGCGGCAUGCCUUACACAUGCAAGUCGAACGGCAGCGCGGGAGCAAUCCUGGCGGCGAGUGGCGAACGGGUGAGUAAUACAUCGGAACGUGCCCAAUCGUGGGGGAUAACGCAGCGAAAGCUGUGCUAAUACCGCAUACGAUCUACGGAUGAAAGCAGGGGAUCGCAAGACCUUGCGCGAAUGGAGCGGCCGAUGGCAGAUUAGGUAGUUGGUGAGGUAAAGGCUCACCAAGCCUUCGAUCUGUAGCUGGUCUGAGAGGACGACCAGCCACACUGGGACUGAGACACGGCCCAGACUCCUACGGGAGGCAGCAGUGGGGAAUUUUGGACAAUGGGCGAAAGCCUGAUCCAGCCAUGCCGCGUGCAGGAUGAAGGCCUUCGGGUUGUAAACUGCUUUUGUACGGAACGAAACGGCCUUUUCUAAUAAAGAGGGCUAAUGACGGUACCGUAAGAAUAAGCACCGGCUAACUACGUGCCAGCAGCCGCGGUAAUACGUAGGGUGCAAGCGUUAAUCGGAAUUACUGGGCGUAAAGCGUGCGCAGGCGGUUAUGUAAGACAGUUGUGAAAUCCCCGGGCUCAACCUGGGAACUGCAUCUGUGACUGCAUAGCUAGAGUACGGUAGAGGGGGAUGGAAUUCCGCGUGUAGCAGUGAAAUGCGUAGAUAUGCGGAGGAACACCGAUGGCGAAGGCAAUCCCCUGGACCUGUACUGACGCUCAUGCACGAAAGCGUGGGGAGCAAAC